CACCUGGCUGAUCCCAAGGAGCGGCUGGUCCCCUAUCACUUCUCCAACCCUCAGCCUGGAUGUAGGAGGAGGCUGGCCUCCGUGUUGGUGAGAGCUGCCCAGUGGGGUUUUCCUCUGCAGAAGGAAAAGUGAUUAACCAG
rnacentral:lncRNA from 1 species